AUUGAACGCUGGCGGCAGGCCUAACACAUGCAAGUCGAACGGUAACAGGAAACAGCUUGCUGUUUCGCUGACGAGUGGCGGACGGGUGAGUAAUGUCUGGGAAACUGCCUGAUGGAGGGGGAUAACUACUGGAAACGGUAGCUAAUACCGCAUAACGUCGCAAGACCAAAGAGGGGGACCUUCGGGCCUCUUGCCAUCGGAUGUGCCCAGAUGGGAUUAGCUUGUUGGUGGGGUAACGGCUCACCAAGGCGACGAUCCCUAGCUGGUCUGAGAGGAUGACCAGCCACACUGGAACUGGGACACGGUCCAGACUCCUACGGGAGGCAGCAGUGGGGAAUAUUGCACAAUGGGCGCAAGCCUGAUGCAGCCGUGCCGCGUGUAUGAAGAAGGCCUUCGGGUUGUAAAGUACUUUCAGCGGGGAGGAAGAGAGUAAAGUUAAUACCUUUACUCAUUGACGUUACCCGCAGAAGAAGCACCGGCUAACUCCGUGCCAGCCGCCGCCGUAA
rnacentral:rRNA from 1 species